GGAGCCUGGGGGCGAAGCGGCGGAGCCUAGUCUCCUUAGUAACCGGGACGGAGGUGAGGGUCAAGACUGCAGAGCAUCUUGGGGGCGUGGCCUAUCUGGUGUGGGCGGAGUCUAGAGGGCUUGGCACUUGGGGGUGGAAGGGCGGAGUCACGCUUGAAGAGUGCGGAAGUCCAGGGACAGCGCGAAGGCGGGUCGCCUUGGCGAUGACUUUAGGAGGUGAAGUCAGACAUGGAAGCAGAAGAAGUCAGAGAUGGGGGGCCAGCGAGCGGCGGGGCUACGUGGGGGAGAAGACUUUUUGGCAACCUGCGUGGGACAGGGCCUCGGGGAAGCCUCCGCGACCAAAGGGCGGGGCCUUCGUGGGGGCCCGGGAUGUCUCUUUGGCAACCUGGGGUAGGUUAUAACCUGUAGGCAACUGGAAAGCUUUAGGGUCCGCAGGCUGAGCCUGCGCAGGGCGGGGCCGGGUUUCCAUGGUGACGAGACAGCGACGGGACCAAUCCUGGAAUCCGCCUAGGAAUUUGGCGUGAGCCUGGAGCCUUCCAGACAAGCUUGCCUGUGGAUAUUUGCUUGCACUGCACUGCC
rnacentral:lncRNA from 1 species